rnacentral:tRNA from 1 species
CCGCCACUAGCUCAGUCUGGUAAGAGCCGACGACUAUCGAGGUUGUAGGUGCGAGGUUCGAGGCCUCGGUGGCGGACCA